GACAGAGGCCUCGAGCGUUAGGCGGAAUCACUGGGCUUAAAGCGUGUGUAGGCGGACCCCUAAGUGUCUUGUGAAAUCCCACGGCUCACCCGUGGAACCGCUGGGCAUACUGGGGGUCUUGGGCCAUUCAGGGGCGACUGGAACAAGCGGUGGAGCGGUGAAAUGCGUAGAUAUCGCUUGGAACGCCAACGGUGAAAACAGCUCGCUGGGGAUGUACUGACGCUGAGACACGAAAGCCAGGGGAGCAAACGGG
rnacentral:rRNA from 1 species